AUAUGUUUGAGUUCUGAUGUAGGAAGAGAUGAUUGUAGUGUGAGUGUAAGGGUGUUUUUAUUUAGGAUCUAGAGCCCAAACUACUAGACUUCACACUUGAGUUUUCCCCCAACUUUAACCAGUCCUAAUAUAGAGGGUGAGGAUCACAGGUUGACAUCUAGAAGAGCUGAGAAUAACUCCGUGUUAUUGCAAAGGCAGGUGGCUGGGAGGAAGGAAGAUUUUAAACUGAUAAAUUCAGGCCUGGCUCUGUUGCAGUCUAGGAACUGGCAGUCUCAUAGCUAGGGCCAUCCUUCUUUCUCGAUGGUUCCAGCAGAGUUGCCCCAGUGAAGGAAGGUGUGGCUCAGUGCGUGUGUACACCAGGCAUCACUGGGAGCCUGAAGCAGCC
rnacentral:lncRNA from 1 species